AUGCAAAAACCAAACUUGUCCACCCCUCACUUACUUGUUUUACAGAUGGCUUACUUGAAAAUAUGGCGAAAAAGAAAACAAGAACUGGAUCAACUUCUGCAAGAUUCAGACAGUGAUGACAGUCUGCCUGGCAUUCCAAAUGCUUUUGACAGUGACAGUGAGCCUGGGACUACAAAUAGUUUAGACAGUUUAGAAUCCAAUACUGAUGACAACCAGGAGUCUACAGAUUUAGAACACAAACAAAAUGAUGAAGAAGUGAAUGUAAACCUGGAGGACGACUUGAGGCAGUGGGCCACAAAAAACAGAGAGACACACAGAUCUGUGAAUGAGUUACUGUCCGUAUUAAGAAAACAAGGGCACUCUUUGCCUAUGGAUGCAAGGACACUUCUUUCUACACCACAAGAUAAAACAUCUGUUGGUAAAUGUAGCGGGCAGUACAAAUACUAUGGCUUAGAGAAGGGGAUCCGCCAGUUUUUAAGUCAGACAGAGAGUAACGCUGUACACCUCAGUGUAAACAUUGAUGGCAUUCGACUUUUCAAAAGUAGCGGCAUUCAAUUCUGGCCAAUACUUGCAAAGUUUAGCCACUUUGAUGCAUUUAUUGUGGCUGUAUUUUGUGGACAAAAGAAGCCCAGUCCCCUGGAAGAGUUUCUUUCGGACUUUUUGAACGAUUACAAGCAUCUCCAGAACAAUGGGAUUAGUUAUGAAGAUCAGACUAACACCAUCCAUUUUGAAGCUUUCAUUUGCGAUGCCCCGGCAAGAGCAUAUCUGAAAUGUAUAAAGAAUCACAAUUCCUAUGAGAGCUGUGAAAGAUGUGUAAUCAGAGGUGAGCAUGUCGAGGGAAGAAUUGUGCUCAAUGAACAGGAGUGCUGUCUUCGAACAGAUGAAGGUUUCAGCAGAAAAGAGUACAGCAGCCACCAAACCGGUGUCAGCCCUUUAAUUCCAGCAUCAAUUCCUUGCGUGAGCUCUUUUGUUUUAGAUUACAUGCAUAUGGUCAUCUUAGGAGUGGUUAGACGCCUCAUGCUGUUCCUGACUAAAGGCCCGAACCACUGUCGUUUAUCUGUAAAGCAAAAGGGGGAGAUAUCUCAAAAACUGAAUGCCCUGAGAGGGAAGAUGCCAAGUGAAUUUGCACGGCAACCCCGGGGUUUACAUGAUCUGGACAGGUGGAAGGCCACCGAAUUACGGCAGUUUUUGUUAUACACAGGUCCUGUGGUACUGAAAGAUGUGUUGUCCCCCAAGAAGUACAGCCAUUUCCUGUCAUUAACUGUGGCAAUGUCCAUAAUGCUGGAGCCAGAUGACAAGAUCCAGAAUGCUUACCUUGAGUUUGCCCAAGAGCUAAUGAAGCACUUUGUCAUGUGCAGUGCUGACCUGUAUGGCAAGUGUUUUCCUGUGUACAAUGUACAUGGACUAUUGCACCUUCACAAAGAUGUCAGACACUUCAACCGUUCACUAAAUGAAAUUAGCUGUUUUCCUUUCGAAAACUACUUGCAAAGAAUCAAAAAAUGUGUGAGGAAUGGGAAAAGUCCCCUGGAACAGGUCACCAGGCGUUUGUCUGAGAUUGAACAUGCAGAAAACAACAACGUGAGCAAAACGCAACAUGCUACACAGCCUGUGCUUGCUUCUCUGAGAGAAAAAGACUCUUGUUUUCUCUUAAAAGAUGAAAGCUUUGCUUUCAUUCAAGAAAAAAAUCGCGAUGGAACUUCUGAGUGCACAAUUCUUAACCAGCGCUACACUACAACACUAUUUCAUCAACCCUGCAGCUCCAAAUUUCUGAAUAUAGUGUGCACUGGGAAUGGACAGGGCAGGAUGAAAAGAGGACUACUGCAUAAAACAGAUCUCAUCCGCAAGGUGGCCUGCCUUCCACAAGAAACGGGUGGUUAUGUCCUUAUACCCCUACGCCAUGGCAUGGAGCACAAAUGUUAA
ensembl:lncRNA